AAUUUCCUGACCCGUCCAGGUGCUCCCGCCCAAGCGGGUGUUAAACGGGAAGCUGGUGCAAAGCCAGCGCUGCCCCCGCAACGGUAAGCAAGCCAGACCGCCACAUCAGGCCACUGUGCAGAAGCAUGGGAAGGCGUGGCGACGGAAGGAUUUCCACUUGCAAGCCCGGAUACCGGCCCGGACAGGCGGUGAUUA
rnacentral:ncRNA from 2 species